GAUUAACGCUAGCGGCAGGCCUAAUACAUGCAAGUCGAACGGCAGCGGGUCCAGCAAUGGAUGCCGGCGAGUGGCGCACGGGUGCGUAACACGUAUGCAAUCUACCUUUAACCGGGGGGAUAGCCCCGAGAAAUCGGGAUUAAUACCCCAUGACAUUACGGAGAGGAGUCUCUUUGUAAUUAAAGCUCCGGCGGUUUCAGAUGAGCAUGCGCGACAUUAGCUAGUUGGUGAGGUAACGGCUCACCAAGGCAGCGAUGUCUAGGGGUUCUGAGAGGAUUCACCCCCACACUGGUACUGAGACACGGACCAGACUCCUACGGGAGGCUG
rnacentral:rRNA from 1 species